rnacentral:rRNA from 1 species
UCUUUGGAGAGUUUGAUCCUGGCUCAGGACGAACGCUGGCGGCGUGCCUAAUACAUGCAAGUCGAGCGGACCGGGCGGGAGCUUGCUUCCGCUUGGUUAGCGGCGGACGGGUGAGUAACACGUGGGUAACCUGCCCGUAAGACCGGGAUAACUCCGGGAAACCGGGGCUAAUACCGGAUAACACCGAAGACCGCAUGGUCUUCGGUUGAAAGGCGGCUUCGGCUGCCACUUACGGAUGGGCCCGCGGCGCAUUAGCUAGUUGGUGAGGUAACGGCUCACCAAGGCGACGAUGCGUAGCCGGCCUGAGAGGGUGACCGGCCACACUGGGACUGAGACACGGCCCAGACUCCUACGGGAGGCAGCAGUAGGGAAUCUUCCGCAAUGGACGAAAGUCUGACGGAGCGACGCCGCGUGAGCGAAGAAGGUCUUCGGAUCGUAAAGCUCUGUUGUUAGGGAAGAAGAAGUGCCGUUCGAACAGGGCGGCACGGUGACGGUACCUAACGAGAAAGCCCCGGCUAACUACGUGCCAGCAGCCGCGGUAAUACGUAGGGGGCGAGCGUUGUCCGGAAUUAUUGGGCGUAAAG